GCUCUGCUACCCCAAUAGACAGGGUGCUGGCUUUCUAAGCUAGGGAUUGUGGGCUCAAUUCCCACCUGUGGUA
rnacentral:tRNA from 1 species